CCGUUCUUUUUUUCCCUGUAGACGCGGAGCUGACCUCUGCAGAUACAGAGCUCAACUUUCAAACCCGAGUAACAGAUUUUUAAUUGAAGAGUUCCACCUCAGAGGAUAUUGUCCAGGACAAAGGAUGUGAUUCAAAAGCCUACGCUCCACUAGUUCCAGUCUAAAGCCGGGGCGCGCCGGCGGGGGUGGGGGGUGCGCAACUCGGGACCCUCUCUGUUUACCCAGGGAGCCGCUGCUCCACGCACGCCCCCGCCCGCCGCAUCCCUGCUACCUUGGUGCCCAGGUCCUUCCUUUGGUUUGGAAGAUCUGGCUGGAAUUCCAGCCCUAGUGGAAUUCUUAGUGUCCCUUCGAAGUUUCCUCUUUUGAUCUCAGUUUCUCCGUCUGCGAAAUGGAAGUAAUGAUCCCCACGCCUCUUAGCGAUGAUGUGAUAAAAUGAAAGUAAAAAUAACUGGAAAGCGCUUUGAGCAAAGCAACGUGGUGCCCUUGGCGGGUGCCUUCCUGUGUGUGACACUGGGCCUUGCCCCGGGGGUGCCCCGGAGGGGCCGGGUUGCUUGCCACACCGGAUGUUGGCGUUCAGGGGCAGCUUUGAGAAAUCAUUCAUUGUAAGUUUCAGGUAUCUCAUGAGCUUUCUGCUCUGCGGAGUACUUGCUUCAUCCAAUCUAGAGGUGCGCCCUGGAAUCAGAUCAGGAGAAUGCGUGCUCCUUGGGAAUUUCUAACUCACUGGCAGGAGGUUGGGAAACAGAAGCCCAGUGAGAAGGUGGAAGGUCACGCCUUGUUCAAAAGGCCAGCGGGAGCCACAUCCCAGAGGGACCUUGACUUUAGGUGACUUCCCACACAGUGUGCGGAGUGUCCGCAGGAAGGGACCGAGGACAUAAAAGAAAACAUUUCCUGACUUUCUCCGGCUAGAUGAGUAACCUAGGAGCGCAGAGAAUGUGGAUGGGCUGCACGAGAGGCUCGAGAGGCUCGUUCCUUGUAGCUGGGAAGCCCACAGAUCAAAUACGGGGGUUGUGGAGUCUGCACAGGGGCACAGUGGGUAAGGAUUGGGUCCCUGAAGUGACCCAAACUGUCCUUGCAGCCAGGCAGGUGGCUGCUAGACCCGACUUUGCAGCCUCCUGGGUAUGGUUCACCUGGGGGAGGUGAGCAUGAUGGAGGCUUCAGGUGCGGGAGGCGCUGGACAGAAUGUGUAGGAGAGUUCCUGAAAGCAGACAGGGAGUCUUAGCCUUCUCUUGCCCACGGCACCUGUUCUGGGGCCGCCACAGAGACUGCCCAAGGAGUGCCUGCUCUCCCGCCGGCCCAGGGGCCAGAUCAGGGAGGGGGAUGCUGGAGAGCGGAGAGCAGGAGAGGUGAACCGGUCAGCGGCUUGCCGAGAGCGCGGCUGAGGGUCUCGGCCUGUGCUUGUUUCCUGGUGGUGACUCCGACAAGGUCAUUAGGGAGGGAAAAGGACCAGCAAAGGAGGAGACCUGUGUGAGGUGAUUUCAGUGGGCCUGAGUCGCAGCUUGGUCACCAGGUAUCACCAGGUCCCAUUCCUUACUUCACCGAGCAGCAAAGUCUCAACGCUGUGUCCUGUGCCGGCGUCUCCCUCCCCAGUACCCCUAACAGGUGGGCUUCCAGGCUCUGCUCCGAGGCUCCUGCUGGUCACAAGCCUGGAUCUUAACAAUGAACUUCACUUGAUUGUAGGGGAUAUUGCCUGCGGCUCCUUCUUUGCCAUGCACCCGGCCUGGGCUUCCGACUACGAGGGUACUUCCAGAAGUUUGUGGAAAGUACCAUUAAAAAAGAUAAGUUUAUAUUGAGGCAAGAUACUUUGAAAUUCAUGCCUGUUUUUUUUUUUUCCAUAGUCUGCAUUUUCACAUGAAUUUUUUGAAGAUCUCUCAUACACUGGUGUCAGUCGCAGGGACCAGAGAGGCCCCUUUCUUCCCUGGGGGUCAUUUCUGGCCCUUCUCCUGGCAGAGUGCAGGGUUCUCGCCCUUGAGUCUCUGCCCC
rnacentral:lncRNA from 1 species